CCCUUAGAUGUUCUGGGCCGCACACGCGCUACACUGAAGGAGGCAGCGUGUACUCCUGGAUCGAAAGAUUUGGGUAACCCGCGAAUCUCCUUCGUGCUAGGGAUUGAGGUUUGCAAUUAUCCUUCAUGAACGAGGAAUUCCCAGUAAGUGCAAGUCAUAAGCUUGCGCUGACUACGUCCCUGCCCUUUGUACACACCGCCCGUCGCUACUACCGAUUGAGUGAUCCGGUGAAUAAUUCGGACUGCGGCAUUGACCGGUUCCCGAUCGUUGCUGCGGAAAGUUUAGUGAACCUUAUCACUUAGAGGAAGGAGAAGUCGUAACA
rnacentral:rRNA from 1 species